UUUAGAGUUUAGAGUUUGGGAUCUGGCUCAGAUUGAACGCUGGCGGCAGGCCUAACACAUGCAAGUCGAACGGUAGCACAGAGGAGCUUGCUCCUUGGGUGACGAGUGGCGGACGGGUGAGUAAUGUCUGGGAAACUGCCCGAUGGAGGGGGAUAACUACUGGAAACGGUAGCUAAUACCGCAUAACGUCGCAAGACCAAAGAGGGGGACCUUCGGGCCUCUUGCCAUCGGAUGUGCCCAGAUGGGAUUAGCUAGUAGGUGGGGUAACGGCUCACCUAGGCGACGAUCCCUAGCUGGUCUGAGAGGAUGACCAGCCACACUGGAACUGAGACACGGUCCAGACUCCUACGGGAGGCAGCAGUGGGGAAUAUUGCACAAUGGGCGCAAGCCUGAUGCAGCCAUGCCGCGUGUAUGAAGAAGGCCUUCGGGUUGUAAAGUACUUUCAGCGAGGAGGAAGGCGUUGUGGUUAAUAACCGCAGCGAUUGACGUUACUCGCAGAAGAAGCACCGGCUAACUCCGUGCCAGCAGCCGCGGUAAUACGGAGGGUGCAAGCGUUAAUCGGAAUUACUGGGCGUAAAGCGCACGCAGGCGGUCUGUCAAGUCGGAUGUGAAAUCCCCGGGCUCAACCUGGGAACUGCAUCCGAAACUGGCAGGCUAGAGUCUUGUAGAGGGGGGUAGAAUUCCAGGUGUAGCGGUGAAAUGCGUAGAGAUCUGGAGGAAUACCGGUGGCGAAGGCGGCCCCCUGGACAAAGACUGACGCUCAGGUGCGAAAGCGUGG
rnacentral:rRNA from 1 species